GACACUGGAGCCAGCCCUGACCCCGGGGGAACACCGCUAGCUCCAGGCCUCCAGCUGGACUCUGCGCCCCGGUCACAACCCUCCAAGCCCUGCCAUUCUGCCAGCUCCCAACCCACCUCACUGUCCGCUCAUCCAGCCCCUGCGUCACCAGCUUGCCCAUGAGGAUGUCAUGGGAAUCAGUGUCAAAAGCCUUCCUGAAGUCAAGCUGCUUGGGAAUGUCUCCAGGAUGAGCUGCUCCAUCAAUUCCCCAGUGGUCGAGCCCUCAGGGACCACUCCUGAUCUCCACCGCCUUUCCAAAAUGAUUGCGAGUUGUCUUGCAACGACGUCGGCCAACUCCCUCAGCCCCAUGGGUGCA